AUUGGACGCUGGCGGCAUGCUUUACACAUGCAAGUCGAACGGCAGCGCGGGCUUCGGCCUGGCGGCGAGUGGCGAACGGGUGAGUAAUACAUCGGAACGUGCCCAGUAGUGGGGGAUAGCUCGGCGAAAGCCGGAUUAAUACCGCAUACGACCUGAGGGUGAAAGCGGGGGAUCUUCGGACCUCGCGCUAUUGUAGCGGCCGAUGGCCGAUUAGCUAGUUGGUGGGGUAAAGGCCUACCAAGGCGACGAUCUGUAGCUGGUCUGAAGGGACGACCAGCCACACUGGGACUGAGACACGGCCCAGACUCCUACGGGAGGCAGCAGUGGGGAAUUUUGGACAAUGGGCGAAAGCCUGAUCCAGCAAUGCCGCGUGUGUGAUGAAGGCCUUCGGGUUGUAAAGCACUUUUGGCGGGAACGAAAAGGACUGUGCCAAUACCACGGUUCGAUGACGGUACCCGCAGAAUAAGUACCGGCUAACUACGUG
rnacentral:rRNA from 1 species